rnacentral:rRNA from 1 species
ACGUAGGUGGCAAGCGUUGUUCGGAAUUAUUGGGCGUAAAGGGCGCGUAGGCGGUUUGUUAAGUCGGCUGUGAAAGCCCGGGGCUCAACCCCGGAGGGUCAGCCGAUACUGGCAGACUAGAGUACGGAAGAGGUAGCUGGAAUUCCUGGUGUAGCGGUGAAAUGCGCAGAUAUCAGGAGGAACACCGAUGGCGAAGGCAGGUCUCUGGGCCACUACUGACGCUGAGAAGCGAAAGCAUGGGGAGCGAACAGGA